rnacentral:rRNA from 1 species
CAAUAGCGUAUAUUAACGUUGUUGCAGUUAAAAAGCUCGUAGUUGGAUUUCUGGAGGGAGCGUCGGCCCGUAUUUACGAGUGCGUGACGUCUCUGUCCAUCCUUGCGGGAAGGCACGGCAUUGAUUUGUUGUGUCGGAUCGCAUCAUUUACUGUGAAAAAAUUAGAGUGUUCAAAGCAGGCUUUCGCUUGAAUACAUUAGCAUGGAAUAAUAAGAUAGGACUUUGGGGCUAUUUUGUUGGUUGAGCCUAAAGUAAUGAUUAAUAGGGAUAGUUGGGGGCACCUGUAUUGCGUUGUCAGAGGUGAAAUUCUUGGAUUUACGCAAGACAAACAGCUGCGAAAGCGUCUGCCAAGGAUGUUUUCAUUAA